rnacentral:rRNA from 1 species
CCGGCGACCGGCGCACGGGUGAGUAACACGUAUGCAACCUGCCCGUCUCAGGGGGAUAAUCGUCGGAAACGGCGUCUAAUACCCCGUAUGAAGCUGGACGGCAUCGUCUGGUUUUGAAAGAAUAUCGGAGACGGAUGGGCAUGCGGCGCAUUAGGCAGUAGGCGGGGUAACGGCCCACCUAACCGACGAUGCGUAGGGGUUCUGAGAGGAAGGUCCCCCACACUGGUACUGAGACACGGACCAGACUCCUACGGGAGGCAGCAG